UUGGGCGCUAGGUAAGUUUCUCCCUAGUUUCGAACCUUUGUUACAUUCCAAAGAAAGAAAAAUUCUUUAUCGUUAUAAAAUUUCAUUUAAUUUUAGUAUUGACGUGAGUUUAGUAUUAAAUUCCCCAGCAGAAAGUGCUCCACUCGAAAAGCAAUGAGUCGGUAUUCUCACGGUUGCCGGCCACGAGCGUCCGCUCCCGUUUUGCAAUAUCUGCAGCGCCACUGAUGCUUGCACUUUGAGUGAUGGACUACGGGAGCUCUUUGAUGCUUAGCCAACAGUUCAUAUGGGGAGAAUGAUGGCGGUAGCAGGUUGUUAACUUUAGUUAACAGUUCUCCGCCCUCUAAUAUAAAUUAUUUCGCUUAUUUUCUGAACAGCGUUAUUGUUGAAUGUGAGAAGUAGAGAAUUUUGACUGUUCAGGGUAAUGUAUACUCCAGGCAACUUGCUUUGCCUAUAGUGAAGACUUCCUCAUGAAAGAUGCUGGGCACAUUCUAUCUUCAAUUGCCAUCGUUAGAUGUAGGACAUUCCUAGAGGUGGGAUCUACAUAUGUAAGUGGGUACCUCCCCUCUGUUGGCUAAGAUCAAUUCCACCACCACCACCACAGAACAAGACUAAAAAUAAACAGUAAACGAGCUUGUAACUUCUUCCUUACGAAUAUCGAAUUUAUCGGUCUACUUAGCCCGUUGGUGCAGCGCACUCAUUAGAUGUUUGUUAACUCGCGGAUGGGUCCGUCUGCACGAACAGUGCCGCUCAGAAAUAUCUAAAAAAAAAAAAAAAAAAACAA